rnacentral:rRNA from 1 species
AAGACCUUGCGCUUUUGGAGCGGCCGAUGCCUGAUUAGCUUGUUGGUGAGGUAAAAGCUUACCAAGGCUUCGAUCAGUAGCUGGUCUGAGAGGACGACCAGCCACACUGGGACUGAGACACGGCCCAGACUCCUACGGGAGGCAGCAGUGGGGAAUUUUGGACAAUGGGGGCAACCCUGAUCCAGCCAUGCCGCGUGAGUGAGGAAGGCCUUCGGGUUGUAAAGCUCUUUCAGCCGGAACGAAACGGUUACGGAUAACACCCGUGACUACUGACGGUACCGGAAGAAGAAGCACCGGCUAACUACGUGCCAGCAGCCGCGGUAAUACGUAGGGUGCGAGCGUUAAUCGGAAUUACUGGGCGUAAAGCGUGCGCAGGUGGUUUUGUAAGUCAGAUGUGAAAGCCCCGGGCUCAACCUGGGAACU